CCCAUGUCCUUCCUGCUCUCCUGAGUGCCAUGCUCCAGAUUCCCUUCUACAAAUCCUGUCACCACCUCAGGCAGGAGACAGGUGCACAGCACUGUGUCGUGACAAAGGGAAAGUACCACUUCAAGGUGUCUGGCUCUCCAGUGGGCUCCCAAGCAACUGCUGUCUUGGAUAACACACAUAGAACUGGCAUUCCCACAUUUUCUAACAGACCUGCUGGAACCUCAUAAAUUCAGCUCUAAUUCAACAAGAAGUUCUGCCAAUGGUGAGACGGAAUUGGUCCAACAGUGAAACAUGAAGAACAGAAGGCUUUUACCUGUUGCAAAAGGCAUCUGAGAAUCAGAGAUAAAACAAGGUCUUUGAGGGCUUUGCCUUUCAUCUCAAUACAAAAAGAGGACCCUGGGGCCUUGCUAUACACUCAAACUGCAGAGGCAGUGAGAGAGAAUAUACAGCAAAUGCAAAGUGAGAAGGCCUUCCUGUCUGCAUGCUGGACUCAGGUGUAGCUGUGCUGGAUCAACAGCAGAAGCCAAAACCUCCUGCCAGGUGUGCCACAGAGCUGCUCAAGCUACAGUAAGGGGAAGGAAAGCUUAACUGAGAUUUCAUUUUCUUUCCUUCUAUUAUUUGUUCUCUGUCUUGCUGUAAUGGUGUAGUCACACUGAGUGUGUGCGAUUCUGCCAGAUACCAUUUGGGCAGGAAUUCAGAGUUCUAGACCUCUGGAAAUGCCAGCAGGAGCUAAAUAAAGUAUUUCAGCUUUGAAAACAAUGAAUAAUUCGAAAGCCAUUUGAGUUCCCAGAAAUGUCUUGAGUGAGCACUGGAGCAGACUCUCAGGACAGGCCUAAAUACCACUUUCACAGCCAUUCUUGUUGCUCCUUUGCAAUGUCCCUGAGUAAGUCCCCUGUGAAUUCAUGCUGGUUUUUCUGUGACGAGAGCCAAUCCCAUCUCUGGGGAUCUUUAUAUCCACAGCCAGACCUUUCUUUCUGUUGGUAGUUGGAGAGGCUUCCUUCUCUGAGGCUGUUAUCUGUAUGUGACUGUAAGCCAUCGUGAGAUGGCUCUGAGGGAAUAAACAGGAAUAUCUGGACUCAGGGUGAAGGCAAUAGUCAACAAAGAACCUGUUUAUGAUACUCAGCUUGCUUAAUAAAGGUGAUCUCAAGCAAAGGAGGGUUUGGUCUCUUUUAGCUGAGAAUUAUGCUUCUGCAAGAUGCUUCCCUCAAGCCCAACUCUUGGCAGGAAAAUAUGUGCUGGACAUAUGGAUUUUGAGUUGGGCAGCUGCUCCUCGCUCUCUCUGAAAAGCCAGUGGUGGCAGGGCUAAAGCUUGAACCAUGUCACAAAUUUGGAAAUGUCUUUCUGCUGAAAGAAACCAGCACCUCACAAUCUCCAUGGUUCCUUUAUCUGUGCUAGCUGGGGUAAAGCUUGUGUACCAGAGAGAAAAAGGGAAGGGAAAAUCCUCAGCUACCCCUAACUUCCCUCAAACUUUCAAAAUAGCCAAGGAAAGGUGUCAAUGUGGGAGAUCUGAAGCUUUAGCUCUAGGCUCUGUGGGAUCAGCAGUAGCUUUUCCCUUGCUGCCCCUCUCCAGUCUUGCAGCUGUACCCUGGAUGAAAGGAGAGGUGUCAUGCCUUGGGCACAGUGCCACAGGCAAGAGUCUUGCUGCACCUCUCAGUCCUUCACUGCUGUCCUGAACUGCCAACAACAACACUGUAUCUUGGAAAGACUGCUUUGAAACAUGUAUGAAAAUGUCUCAAUUUCUUUUAAUGGCAUUGCAGGAAAUGGAAAUAAAGUGUAACCAAGACUGGAACUGUCAGUGUGACACUGAUCCUCUGCUAUCCAAACCAACCUGGAAAGUACCUCAAACACCAGGAACAAAAAAGGGAUGCAGAGAGAAAGGAUGAUUCUACUUCUCCCUGAUGCCAAACCCAGGACAGUGCAAUGGGAAGGGCACUACAGUUCUGAGAAAAAUCAGGAGCUGCUCAGGGGACAGAAGCAUCCAUGUUCUCAUGCAUUAAGGAAUGACUGUCAUAUAGGGCAAGGAAGGAGUCAGAUCCAGGAGCCUCUUGUACAAAUUAACCGCACCACGAGCAACACUCUGUGGCUUUCCUUGGAAGGGACUGUGAUGGACGCAGCAGCCUUAACUCAGAUUGAUAAGUAGCAAUU